rnacentral:rRNA from 1 species
GACGAACCGAGCGAACGUUGUUCGGAAUCACUGGGCUUAAAGGGCGCGUAGGCGGGCUGUCAAGUCUGGGGUGAAAUCCCGCGGCUCAACCGUGGAACUGCCUCAGAUACUGACGGCCUCGAGAGAGAUAGGGGCGAGCGGAACUAAUGGUGGAGCGGUGAAAUGCGUUGAUAUCAUUAGGAACUCCGGUGGCGAAGGCGGCUCGCUGGAUCUUUUCUGACGCUGAGGCGCGAAAGCUAGGGGAGCAAACGGG